rnacentral:tRNA from 1 species
ACCUGCCUGGCUCAGUCUGAAGAGCACAGGACUCUAGAUCUUGGGGUCAUGAGUUUGAACCCCACGUUGGGUG